rnacentral:lncRNA from 1 species
CAGGCGUCCGGGUUCGAAUUGUCACACCUCCUUUUUCCUAUCCUAGGAAAGGAGCAUGAGAGUUUUUUCUAAUUUAAGUGACAACUGAAACGAGAUUAUUUAUUUAUUUUUCAGAGUCAUCAUUUGGGAUAAUUUAUGGUGUUCCAAGUCACUGGUUUAAAUCCUGAAUCGAGACAAGAUUGACUGUAUUUUACAGUCCGCGAACACAGAAAUUCGGGUAAGGAAUUUUAUUAACCCGGGAGAAGGUGUUAGGCAUUCAGGGGUUCUGUGGUUCUAGCACGGUUACACAACUGUUAUUUAUUGGACUAUGAUCUUAUUCUAA